rnacentral:tRNA from 1 species
GCGCGAGUGGCGGAAUUGGCAGACGCGCCAGAUUUAGGUUCUGGUGCCUUCGGGCGUGGGGGUUCAAGUCCCCCCUUGCGCA